AAUGAACGCUGGCGGCAUGCCUAACACAUGCAAGUCGAACGAAGGCUUCGGCCUUAGUGGCGCACGGGUGCGGAACGCGUGGGAAUCUGCCCCUUGGUUCGGAAUAACAGUUAGAAAUGACUGCUAAUACCGGAUGAUGACGUAAGUCCAAAGAUUUAUCGCCGAGGGAUGAGCCGGCGUAGGAUUAGCGAGUUGGUGUGGUAAGAGCGCACCAAGGCGACGAUCCUUAGCUGGUCUGAGAGGAUGAUCAGCCACACUGGGACUGAGACACGGCCCAGACUCCUACGGGAGGCAGCAGUGGGUAAUAUUGGACAAUGGGCGAAAGCCUGAUCCAGCCAUGCCGCGUGAGUGAUGAAGGCCUUAGGGUUGUAAAGCUCUUUUACCCGGGAUGAUAAUGACAGUACCGGGAGAAUAAGCUCCGGCUAACUCCGUG
rnacentral:rRNA from 1 species